CUUAUAUUCACUCCGUUCAAAAAUACUUGUCAUUAAAAUGGAUAAAAAAGAUGUAUCUAGAACUAAAGUACAUCUAGAUACAUCUCCUUUUAUCUAUUUUGAUGAUAAGUAUUUUCGGACAGAGGGAGUAUUAA
rfam:Triticum aestivum genome assembly, contig: Triticum_aestivum_CS42_TGACv1_scaffold_436714_5DL